AUUGAACGCUGGCGGCAGGCCUAACACAUGCAAGUCGAGCGGGGUUUUCGGACCUAGCGGCGGACGGGUGAGUAAUGCGUAGGAAGCUGCCCGAUAGAGGGGGAUACCAGUUGGAAACGACUGUUAAUACCGCAUAAUGUCUACGGACCAAAGUGUGGGACCUUCGGGCCACAUGCUAUCGGAUGCGCCUACGUGGGAUUAGCUAGUUGGUGAGGUAAUGGCGCACCAAGGCGACGAUCUCUAGCUGGUUUGAGAGGAUGAUCAGCCACACUGGAACUGAGACACGGUCCAGGGUCCUACGGGGGGCAGCAGUUGGGAAUAUUGGACAAUGGGCGCAAGCCUGAUCCAGCCAUGCCGCGUGUGUGAAGAAGGCCUUCGGGUUGUAAAGCACUUUCAGCGAGGAGGAAGGGUGGUGUGUUAAUAGCACAUCAUUUUGACGUUACUCGCAGAAGAAGCACCGGCUAACUCUGUGCCAGCAGCCGCGGUAA
rnacentral:rRNA from 1 species